ACCCGCUGAAUUUAAGCAUAUCACUAAGCGGAGGAAAAGAAACUAACCAGGAUUCCCCUAGUAACGGCGAGUGAAGAGGGAAAAGCCCAGCACCGAAGCCUGCGGCAGUUUUGCUGUUAGGCAAUGUGGUGUUUGGGUCGACUCGUGGGACUGCCACUCCACUCCAAGUCCAGCAUUGAGUAUGGUUUACUGGAUUUGGCCCAGAGAGGGUGAAAGGCCCGUAGGGGUGGAGUUACAGAAAUGUAAGGCAGUUCACCAGGUCGACCUUAGAGUCGGGUUGUUUGGGAAUGCAGCCCAAAGCGGGUGGUAAACUCCAUCCAAGGCUAAAUACAAGCACGAGUCCGAUAGCGAACAAGUACCGUGAGGGAAAGUUGAAAAGUACUCUGAAGAGAGAGUAAACAGUACGUGAAACCGCAUGCAGGUAAACGGGUGGCGUCAAGCUGCAGACCCAGAGGAUUCAGUCGACUAGGAUGUAGUGUAUGUGCCUGGCACAUCCAUCAGUCAGAGUGUGAUUGAGUAGUCCGCGGGAAACCGUGGGCCUGGCCGCAAGGUCAGGAUGUGUGUACCGGAUGGGUGCCGGAGCAUGCUACUCGUCUGGGGACUGUCUAGUCGGUGCACUUUCUCUGUGGUCAACACCACGACCGGUGGUACUGCCAGUCUGCUGUGCUCAAGUUGUACUCGGUUGGUCCUUGUGGCUAGCUGGGUGCGAUGACAGGUGAACUGAGUGAACGGCGCGGGGAUGCCUCGGUAUCUUUGCGUGUUAUCGGCCACUGGUCACCAACAGGCCUGCCCGGUGUUUGUUGUAACCGGCAUGGGGUGGUCUGGUGGAGCAUGGUGGUAAGAAUAACUGUGCAGGGCACCGGAGUUGUCGGCCUCAAAUCUAGCGUCCUGCACACACGUUACAAGUGGUGCUUAGUGGCGGCGCCGUGGCUAUCUGCCUGGUGUUGGGUGUGAUUGGCGUGUUGCCCGCGAAAAGUGGGCCCGUCAGUGGCUCGACCUGGGAUGGGUGGUUCGGCGGCGUUGUCGGUGUAGGACGUGGUGGGCCCAAUAGUCUGUGGUGUAGUGGUAGACGAGCUACCCGACCCGUCUUGAAACACGGACCAAGGAGUUUAACAUGUAUGCGAGUCAAUGGGUCCUACGAAACCCAAAGGCGAAGUGAAAGUGAAGCUCUGUUGGGUGGCUGCUCUCAGGUGGCUUGCCCUCAGGGUGUGGUGAGAUCCCGCUGUUACUCGCAUCAGUCUAAUGUCAGCAUCAGGCUAAGAGCAGCGGGCGCAUCACCGGCCCGUCCCAUGAUGUGGUCGCAGGAUGUCGUCUGUGGUUGUCGCUGCCUCGGUAGUGGCGGCUGCGGUGCCUGUGCGUCAUCGGGGCGGUGCAUGAGCAUACACGUUGAGACCCGAAAGAUGGUGAACUAUGCUUGCGUAGGUUGAAGCCAGAGGAAACUCUGGUGGAGGACCGCAGCGAUUCUGACGUGCAAAUCGAUCGUCAAACGUGAGCAUAGGGGCGAAAGACUAAUCGAACCAUCUAGUAGCUGGUUCCCUCCGAAGUUUCCCUCAGGAUAGC
rnacentral:rRNA from 1 species